CCUACGGGAGGCAGCAGUGGGGGAUAUUGCACAAUGGGGGGAACCCUGAUGCAGCGACGCCGCGUGGGUGAAGAAGCGCCUCGGCGCGUAAAGCCCUGUCAGCAGGGAAGAAAAUGACGGUACCUGAAGAAGAAGCCCCGGCUAACUACGUGCCAGCAGCCGCGGUAAUACGUAGGGGGCAAGCGUUAUCCGGAUUUACUGGGUGUAAAGGGAGCGUAGACGGCGUCGCAAGUCUGAAGUGAAAGCCCGUGGCUCAACCGCGGAACCGCUUUGGAAACUGCGAGGCUGGAGUGCUGGAGAGGUAAGCGGAAUUCCUGGUGUAGCGGUGAAAUGCGUAGAUAUCAGGAGGAACACUCGUGGCGAAGGCGGGUUCCUGGACAUUAACUGACGCUGAGGCACGAAGGCCAGGGGAGCGAAAGGGAUUAGAUACCCUGGUAGUC
rnacentral:rRNA from 1 species